AACGAACGCUGGCGGCAGGCCUAACACAUGCAAGUCGAACGAGUAAGAGCCGUAGCAAUACGGAGUUCUGCUAGCGGCGCACGGGUGAGUAACGCGUGGGAACGUGCCUUGGAGUUCGGGAUAACAGUUGGAAACGACUGCUAAUACCGAAUAUUCCCUCAGGGGAAAGAUUUAUCGCUCCAAGAUCGGCCCGCGUAAGAUUAGGUAGUUGGUGGGUAAUGGCCUACCAAGCCUACGAUCUUUAGCUGGUCUGAGAGGACGACCAGCCACACUGGAACUGAGACACGGUCCAGACUCCUACGGGAGGCAGCAGUGGGGAAUAUUGGACAAUGGGCGAAAGCCUGAUCCAGCCAUGCCGCGUGAAUGAUGAAGGCCUUAGGGUUGUAAAAAUUCUUUUGUCAGGGGAAGGAAUAAAUAGACGGGUAACCCUGCGAAUAAAGCUCCGGCUAAACUUCGUGCCAGCAGCCGCGGU
rnacentral:rRNA from 1 species